UUACGGCCAUAUAGCGUUGAAACACCAGUUCUCGGGCGAUCACUGAAGUUAAGCAACAUCGAGCCUGAUCAGUAUAUAGAUGGAUGAUCGCUUGGGAAUACCAGGGGCU